GAUGAACGCUGGCGGCGUGCCUAAUACAUGCAAGUCGAGCGCACGUUCGAGCAGCUUGCUUUUCUGAUGUUAGCGGCGGACGGGUGCGUAACACGUGGUUACCCUACCUUUAAGUCCGGGUUAACUUCGGGAAACCGGAGCUAAUACCGGAUAAUAUUUUGAACUGCAUUGUUCAACAGUGAAAGACGGUCUUGCUGUCACUUAUAGAUGUAUCCGCGCUGCAUUAGCUACUUGGUAAGGUAACGGCUUACCAAGGCAACGAUGCAUAGCCGACCUGAGAGGGUGAUCGGCCACACUGGAACGGAGACACGGUCCAGACUCCUACGGGAGGCAGCAGUAGGGAAUCUUGCGCAUGGAGCGAAGGCCUGACGGAGCAACGCCGCGGAAGGGAUGAGGGUCUUCGGAUCGUAAAACUCUGUUAUUAGGGAAGAACAUAUGUGUAAGGAACUGUGCACAUCUUGACGGUACCUAAUCAGAAAGCCACGGCUAACUACGUG
rnacentral:rRNA from 1 species